rnacentral:sRNA from 1 species
CAAACAGAAGAGAAGGUGAAACCCCCAGAGGAGAUGAAGAUGAAGAGAUGAUUCCAGGAGGAGCUAAGUCUUAGACUCCAUUUCCUUUUAUUGGACUCACUAAUAUGAUACCUGAACCCAACUGUAAUGCUGGUAGAAGAUCCUUCAGGAAAUUUAGUGGUUUAUAUCCAAGAUUCCAGGAAUUGCAGCGCUGGAGUGAUCCCAGAAGUUGUUUGUGCUGUCUCCAUACCUCAAAGAAGAAGAAACUAAAAUCUGAAGCAAUUAGUCAAGUUCAAAGGAAUCAGGAUCACCUCUCAUAAAAGCCGUAUAUGAAAAUAACUACAGCAAGGGGAUUAAAUAGAAUUCAUCUUUUGGAGAAGCCUAUUUAAAAAAGAAGAAGAAUCUUCAUUAGAGACCUUUGCCUGACUCCUAAAUCCUUGGUUAAUGAGUUAAUAGUUCUGUUCAAAUUGCUUACAUGAUCUUGAUUUAACUUUGGGAGGUGGUGUAUAUCGAGAAGGUUAUCCAUUUCUUCUGUUUUCUGAUUUGGACUGGCCUCCUUCAUGUGCACUAGCAGCUCGUAGAUGGGGUGGAUGUUUGCGUGAGCCAACACAAAGCCCUGGAUCUGGGCCUGAAUGGAAGCUGAACUGGUUAGACCACCAGUUCUCCUAUGUCCACAUCACCAAAACCAGCUCUCCUACUGUGCCAGGAAUAUAUCAACCAGUUGUUCUUCUUAUUAUAUAGCAUGAACAAAUACAAAAUCACGACCAGCAUUUUUCAGAUCUUGCUGACAAGCCUAGAGAGCCAAAACUUGGGAAGCAGAAUGUUGUGGUUUGCCCUGGAGUUAUCUGUAUCUUGAUGCUAAUCCCACUGCCCCAAGGACAGCUGCCUAGUCAGUACUCAGGACUCAGAAAGAAUACAAGAGUACAAGAGCACGCUUGCUUCAUGAUGGAAAUGAUAUGUGGGAGAGAAGCGAGCAAUCAUGCAGGAAGGAGUUGCGGAAGCGGCGUUGGAAAAGCUUUCAAAAAAACAAAAACAAGAAUUCUGAGAUUUGAAAGAGUAUCUAUAAAAAGCAGAAAAGAACAAAAAGAUGCUGUCUUGGCACUGAGCUAAUGAAGAACUCUAUUGAAAAGAGCAGCAAGAGACAGAAUGAUGUAGGCGUGUUCUUCCUGAGACCUGUUGGUUCCUUUUAGCUUUCUAUGUGCAAUGGUGCUGUUUGAAACUUGGACACAAACUUGAUUUGACAUUCUCGUUAUCAGGCACAGUGACUGGAGCGCACAGGAGAAAUGCAAGGAAAGAAACAGGUGACGUGGGAAGGAGGAAGGCACGUCCUGAAUUUUCUAACAUAUUUUCAUUUUUAUAAAAUUUUGUGAAAGGGUCUGACUUAUUCCAUUUUAUGAACAGGAAAGUGAUUUGUUUGGGGAUAAAGAUUAUAUUAUGAACAUACAGCAUCUAGAUUUAUGUCAUUUAUUCUAUUAUUCUUGUUCAUCUUGACUCAGGGAACGUUGGAUGGAAAAGACUACUGAAGAACGGGGCCAAUUUAUUGAAGUUCUAAUUUAUAGAAAUUCAAUUUAUAGAAAUUUUAAUCUAUCCUAGGAAAACAAAAGAUAAAAGUUAAGAUGAAAAUUCAGUCAGAAGAAGUUGGGAGUAAUACUAUCAUAGGCAAUUAAUCUGAUAACAAAUGCUGGAGAGAACAUGGAGAGAAAGAAGCAUCCAUUCACUGUUGUUGAGGGUGCAAAUAAAUGAAGGCGUUAUGGAAAUCAGAUUGGGGAUUUCUCAAAACAAUUAAAAAUAAAACUAUCAUGAACUCUAGCUAUCUCACUUCUAGGCAAGAAAACUUCAUAAAGAUAUUUGUACUCCUGGGUUUAUUGCCACUUCAUUCAAUUAAAAUGAAGAAUUGAAAUUAACCUAGUUGUACACAAACAGAUGAAUGGAUAAUAAAAAUUUGCUAUAUUUAUGAAUACUACUCAGUUCUAAAAAAUAAAUUAAAAACUUGCAGGAAAGUGGAUGGACUUAGAAUGUUUAAUAUGAAGCGAGAUCGCAUACAGUUCCAAACAGAAAUAAACUGCAUGUUCUCUCCUGUAUGUGGAAUUUAGCCAAUAAUAUGUGUAUAUACAUGACAGUGUACUUGUGGUCCAGUACAACAUGAGGAAAAGAAUGACUGAAUAAAGGGGAUGGGGAAACACUGAAUGCAGGAUAUGGACGUGAGAUUUGAAAGAUAAUAUCAAGGUAAUUGUUUUUCUUGUUCUAAUUCUGUCAGUUUUUUGAGGGGUUGGUGGUUGACAAGAGCAUAAAAUAAACCCAAUACUGAAAUUGAAAAAAUUUAAUGUUGAAGUCUCUCACUUCUGUAUCGAAUGUCAGUUUUAACUGUGUAUAAAUGUAUAUUCAUUAAAUUGUGUAGACCGGGUCUGUUUAAAUUUGCUGUGUAUGUUUUUAUUUAUUUGUAAGAUUUUCAAUAAUAAAGUUUACAAAAUUAAAAGAGAAAUCUAAAAAAGAAGU